rnacentral:rRNA from 1 species
ACUCCUACGGGAGGCAGCAGUGGGGAAUAUUGCACAAUGGGCGCAAGCCUGAUGCAGCCAUGCCGCGUGUAUGAAGAAGGCCUUCGGGUUGUAAAGUACUUUCAGCAGUGAGGAAGGUGGGUAUGUUAAUAGCAUACUCAUUUGACGUUAGCUGCAGAAGAAGCACCGGCUAACUCCGUGCCAGCAGCCGCGGUAAUACGGAGGGUGCGAGCGUUAAUCGGAAUUACUGGGCGUAAAGCGCAUGCAGGUGGUUUGUUAAGUCAGAUGUGAAAGCCCGGGGCUCAACCUCGGAAUUGCAUUUGAAACUGGCAAACUAGAGUACUGUAGAGGGGGGUAGAAUUUCAGGUGUAGCGGUGAAAUGCGUAGAGAUCUGAAGGAAUACCGGUGGCGAAGGCGGCCCCCUGGACAGAUACUGACACUCAGAUGCGAAAGCGUGGGGAGCAAACAGGAUUAGAUACCCUGGUAGCUCUGC